rnacentral:rRNA from 1 species
GGCGGCGUGCUUAACACAUGCAAGUCGAGCGAAGCGCUUAAGUUUGAUUCUUCGGAUGAAGACUUUUGUGACUGAGCGGCGGACGGGUGAGUAACGCGUGGGUAACCUGCCUCAUACAGGGGGAUAACAGUUAGAAAUGACUGCUAAUACCGCAUAAGACCACGGUACCGCAUGGUACAGUGGUAAAAACUCCGGUGGUAUGAGAUGGACCCGCGUCUGAUUAGGUAGUUGGUGGGGUAACGGCCUACCAAGCCGACGAUCAGUAGCCGGCCUGAGAGGGUGAACGGCCACAUUGGGACUGAGACACGGCCCAAACUCCUACGGGAGGCAGCAGUGGGGAAUAUUGCACAAUGGGGGAAACCCUGAUGCAGCGACGCCGCGUGAGUGAUGAAGUAUUUCGGUAUGUAAAACUCUAUCAGCAGGGAAGAUAAUGACGGUACCUGACUAAGAAGCACCGGCUAAAUACGUGCCAGCAGCCGCGGUAAUACGUAUGGUGCAAGCGUUAAUCCGGAUUUACUGGGUGUAAAGGGAGCGUAGACGGCACGGCAAGCCAGAUGUGAAAGCCCGGGGCUCAACCCCAGGGACUGCAUUUGGAACUGCUGAGCUAGAGUGUCGGAGAGGCAAGUGGAAUUCCUAGUGUAGCGGUGAAAUGCGUAGAUAUUAGGAGGAACACCAGUGGCGAAGGCGGCUUGCUGGACGAUGACUGACGUUGAGGCUCGAAAGCGUGGGGAGCAAACAGGAUUAGACACCCUGGUAGUCCACGCCGUAAACGAUGACUGCUUGGUGUCGGGGGGCAAGCCCAUUCGGUGCCGCAGCUAACGCAAUAAGCAUUCCCCCCUGGGGAGUACGUUCGCAAGAAUGAAACUCAAAGGAAUUGACGGGGACCCGCACAAGCGGUGGAGCAUGUGGUUUAAUUCGAAGCAACGCGAAGAACCUUACCUGAUCUUGACAUCCCGAUGACCGCUUCGUAAUGGAAGCUUUUCUUCGGAACAUCGGUGACAGGUGGUGCAUGGUUGUCGUCAGCUCGUGUCGUGAGAUGUUGGGUUAAGUCCCGCAACGAGCGCAACCCCUAUCUUCAGUAGCCAGCAGGUUAAGCUGGGCACUCUGGAGAGACUGCCAGGGAUAACCUGGAGGAAGGUGGGGAUGACGUCAAAUCAUCAUGCCCCUUAUGACCAGGGCUACACACGUGCUACAAUGGCGUAAACAAAGAGAAGCAAACUCGCGAGGGUAAGCAAAUCUCAAAAAUAACGUCUCAGUUCGGAUUGUAGUCUGCAACUCGACUACAUGAAGCUGGAAUCGCUAGUAAUCGCAGAUCAGAAUGCUGCGGUGAAUACGUUCCCGGGUCUUGCACACAACGCCCGUCA